rnacentral:rRNA from 1 species
ACGGGAGGCAGCAGUGAGGAAUAUUGGUCAAUGGGCGGAAGCCUGAACCAGCCAAGUCGCGUGAAGGAUGAAGGUAUUAUGUAUUGUAAACUUCUUUAGCUGUGGAGCAAUAAUCGCCAUGCAUGGCGAGAUGAGAGUACACAGAGAAUAAGGAUCGGCUAACUCCGUGCCAGCAGCCGCGGUAAUACGGAGGAUCCGAGCGUUAUCCGGAUUUAUUGGGUUUAAAGGGUGCGCAGGCGGCUUUCUAAGUCAGUGGUUAAAUAGCGGUGCUCAACGCCGUCCCGCCAUUGAUACUGGAGAGCUUGAUUGCGGUCGAGGUUUGCGGAAUUCGUCGUGUAGCGGUGAAAUGCGUAGAUAUUAGGAGGAACACCAGUGGCGAAGGCGGCUUACUGGACUGUAACUGACGUUGAGGCUCGAAGGCGUGGGGAGCAAACAGGAUUAGAUACCCUGGUA